rnacentral:rRNA from 1 species
GAUGAACGCUGGCGGCGUGCUUAACACAUGCAAGUCGAACGAGAAGUGAAGACGGAACCCUUCGGGCGGAAGGCUUUAUUUCGAGUGGCGGACGGGUGAGUAACGCGUGGGUAACCUGCCUCAUACAGGGGGAUAACAGUUGGAAACGACUGUUAAUACCGCAUAAGACCACAGCACCGCAUGGUGCGGGGGCAAAAACUCCGGUGGUAUGAGAUGGACCCGCGUUCGAUUAGCCAGUUGGCGGGGUAACGGCCCACCAAAGCGACGAUCGAUAGCCGAUCUGAGAGGAUGACCGGCCACAUUGGGACUGAGACACGGCCCAAACUCCUACGGGAGGCAGCAGUGGGGAAUAUUGCACAAUGGGGGAAACCCUGAUGCAGCGACGCCGCGUGAGUGAAGAAGUAUUUCGGUAUGUAAAGCUCUAUCAGCAGGGAAGAAAAUGACGGUACCUGAGUAAGAAGCCCCGGCUAACUACGUG